GGGUGCGAUCAUACCAGCGUUAAUGCACCGGAUCCCAUAUGAACUCCACAUUUAAGAGAACUUGGGAUAGAGUAGUAAUGGGAUGGGUGACCUCCUGGAAAGUCCUAGUGUUGCACCCU
rfam:Picea glauca, whole genome shotgun sequence.